GGGGAUGUAGUUUAGUGGUAGAGCAACUGCAUAGUAUAUGUGAGGCCCUGGGUUCAAUCCCCAGCACCAUCA
rnacentral:tRNA from 1 species